UACGGAGGGUGCAAGCGUUAAUCGGAUUUACUGGGCGUAAAGCGCGCGUAGGCGGUUUGUUAAGUCGGAUGUGAAAUCCCUGGGCUCAACCUGGGCACUGCAUUCGAUACUGGCAGGCUAGAGUACGAUAGAGGGUGGUAGAAUUCCUGGUGUAGCGGUGAAAUGCGUAGAUAUCAGGAGGAAUAUCGGUGGCGAAGGCGGCCACCUGGGUCGAUACUGACGCUGAGGUGCGAAAGCGUGGGGAGCAAACAGG
rnacentral:rRNA from 1 species